AUCUGCUCUGUGAACCUGAAACUUAGUCUGUGAAAAACAGGGGUCUUGACACUUCUUUCUCACAGACAAAGCGGCAUUCGCACAGUGACACAUCAGGUCCAGUAGUGAUUAACAUUUUAAAGAAACAGCCAAAUACCAGCCAUAGUAAUAUUGAGUCUAUACACAAAGUUGGAAGUGAAUAGUGGUAAGGGAUUGGAAUUCAGGAUCUAGUAUUAGUACGGAGAGAAUACCAAUCACGGGAAAGUGACCAAGGGGCUGAGCAUUUAAGGAACCAGAAGCUUCAGAGGAAGAACAAAUGUAUGAGGAAACAAAGAUCCUAGGAGGAUGGUGUAUGGCUAGGAUGGAGACCUUCAUUGAACAUUGGCAAAUAAUGGAUAGGCCUGAACUAAAUGACUGUUGCGAGGGGCAUAUGUUGUGUUGGGAAGAUACCAGGGAACUAGACCUAUGUGGAGGGUGUGCAUUUAGUGUAAAAGGGACUCUACAUGGAAGGCUAAAUUGGCGAGGGACAGAUUUAGAGAGUGUAUGUAUAGGGUGUUUACAGGAGGCCAGAGAUUGGCCCAAAAUGAGAGUAAUGGUAAAAAGAGGAAUGGCAUGGGAAGUUACCCAUGACAAAGAAGAGGCAAGCUUAAGGGUGAUGCACCAAGGAAGAGAGGUGGAUUGGGACAGAACCACAGGGAGAAUAGAAUUAAUGGGGCUAAACAAUGAAGUAUACACAGGAUGGAUCCAGCACCAGGGAAGGAUGGAGUCAGUGGUGUGUCCAGUGUGAUAAAAUAACCCAGGGAAAGAUUACCAGAGAAACUAGACAUAGUAAUGUACGUGAGGAAUGCUUUUGCAAGAGCUGUUUUUAUGAUGCUACAUGUAAUAGGAAUAGGUUGUGUAUUUAUCAGGAAGAAGAGGAUGAGGAGUGGCCUCAAGAUACGUCAUAUGCGAAUGUUAUGCUAAAUGGGAGGUUGACAGCAAAGGGAGUGACUAAUGAUGGAAGGUAUCUCAAAAGUAGAUACGCUUUUAGUAUGGAAGACAGUACAGAUAUUAGUUAUAGGCUUGUACAAAAUAUAAAUGGGCUAAUGUUAGGGAUUAGGUAUAACGGACAAAUAGUAAGCAGAGGGAUAAAAAGACAGGAGUGCACAGAUCCUGGAGAGAGUGGCAAAAACCGAAAAGGAUCUGCACAUUCCCUCUACAUGGGAAGACAACUCUGCUGCAGGAUAUCCAGGGGACCUCAUGGAACCAUGGAAUACACCUACUGAUACUGGACACCAGGGGGAGACAGAGGAGACACCAAUCAUAGACUUGGGCGUCAGUACUCUGUGACUUAGACUUAGAGGGGGAAUCAGAAUGAUGUAAUACGAUAGCUUUGAGUGUGCAGCAUAACAGAGCUAUGAGUGUGCAGUCUAACAGAGCUAACAUUGUGCAGUGUGGUCCAGCACUUUGGGCACUUCCCACAUAACAAGGUAUAUAAAGAGAGCAAAGCUCAUAAGGAGGCAUACAUCUCACUGACAUAUGAGACAGACCUCAUAUGGAGAAUCAUCAUAGGUAAAUGUACUAUCUCACUAUACUCUUUUUGACAGACUAAUACAAUAUUCAAGAGCUGGUUAAAUUUAGCUUAAGUAUGAAUUAAAUCACUAACUGCCUGGUUGAGCUCUGUGAACCUGAAACUGAGUCUCUGAAAAACAGGGAUCUUGACACUUCUUGCUCACAGACAAAGCGGCAUUCGCACAGUGACACAUCAGGUCCAGUAGUGAUUAACAUUUUAAAGAAACAGCCAAAUACCAGCCAUAGUAAUAUUGAGUCUAUACACAAAGUUGGAAGUGAAUAGUGGUAAGGGAUUGGAAUUCAGGAUCUAGUAUUAGUACGGAGAGAAUACCAAUCACGGGAAAGUGACCAAGGGGCUGAGCAUUUAAGGUAAUUUAACUAUUUUUGCUAUUUAGUCAAUAUUGUUAGAAGUGUUAACGCAUUUAAAGUUUUGCAAUAUUAUCUGGCAUAGCUUAAAGCAUUAAGGAUUGAUUGAGCAUUAUUGUUGUAUUGAGAAACUGUAUUACCAUUGAAUUGUAAUGAUGUGUAUAAGACAAAAAACAGAGUGACUUAAUAAAAGCUUGAAACUUUGACAACUAGGCCAGAUUAACGAUCUGGAGAGCAAACGCCUCUGACACUCUCACUGAACAGAAAGUGACCCUGGUUAUAGGUUAAAGUGAUUGCACUAAAGAAUA